GGCCCCUCCCGGAAGCGGCGUGCGCGCGCCAGCACGGCAGGGCGGGGCGGGGCGCGUCACGUGACGGGGGCGGGGCCGACCCUGCCCCGCAGCGCCGCCGUUGCCACGGCAACGCGGCCCGCGGAGGAGGGCGUGAGGCCGCGGUCCGGCCGUUGGCGCUCCCCCCUUCGGCUAACGGCUCCCGGCGGGCGGCGGGGGCAAGCGCCGGCCUAGGCCGCUGCAGAGCGCAGGGAGCAGCUGUUGCUCCGUCCGCUCUCAGCACACUCUGCUGCGGGGCCUGGUGUGCCGUGAGGUAAAGACCAGUCCCCGGCGCGCUUGGGCAAAGGAAAAGCUUAAAAGUCCCAAACACAGAUCCUCCGCGCAGCUUCGGGGCGCGUCGCCGCCGCAGGCGCGCACUGCUCCCUCCCAGCCUCCCGGGCUGCCUGAGCACAGCCGUCUUCUCGCCUGCCGUUCGCGGACUUGCAAACGAGAGCUAAUCCUGCCGGGGCCCCGUGUCGCAGUCUGGGAACAAACAGCCCGGGCUGAAAUCUUCUGACUCACCGUCCUCCACCGCCAACGGGAGCGAGCCUCCCGCGGGACUGGAGUGAGCUGCGCCUGGUUCACAAGGAAAAUUUGAAGUAUAGCCCUCAUCGGCUCAUCCGUUGUUUCUAGUAAUCCAUAUUGCAAAUGAAUCGGUUUGCCAGUAAAUGUGAGUACUUCGCUGCAGAAUUGUUUCUAGGUAAUGCAAAAACAGCUUUCAUCAGAGAUGUCGAAUGUUCAAGAAGUUACUAAAAGCCAAAUCCGAUAAGCAGUCUGAAUUCCACCACACGUAAGGGCCGGUAAAAAUGAAAACGAAAGAGAAACACUCACAGGAUAUAACAGUCUGACAGAGAGAUGGUGCCGUUUCCAGCGUUAAGAAAACUCACCGUUAAAGCAAUGGUGGUGUAGCCUACAUUACUGACAGCAACUCGGAUGUGAGAGGCCAGACAAUUUGUAAAAGGAUAGUCAGAUGUUGUAUGAGGAAAGUUUCUCUUAAUUUAUUUUUAUAAGCUCAUUUUUCCCAGUGUUUUAAGGAAUAAUCCGCAUUCAUUAAAAUGCCUUUCUUUCCAUCUGCUGACAUAACUUAUAUUAAUGGAGUCCAUCCUUUUCAUCCUGAUAACUGAACUCAUUUCCAAAAGGUUACAGUUCACAAUCAAUACAUUUUAUCUUGCAGAGAAAAAAAGGGGAGGAAAGUGGUUUGUCAUAAACAGCUUUUUUGAAUUGCUUGUCCUCUGUCAACUUGUACUUUCUUAUCAAAACUGAGUCAUUGCCAAGCAAAUAAACUUGACAGAAGGAGUUACCAAUGCAUUAUUUAUGAAGCAAGUGAAGCAACCGUAGGAGAAGCUGUCACCUAAGACAUCUCCAGGUAUCAGAAGAAUAGUUGCUGGUGCUGCAGGGGAAGAAGUUAACCUUUUCUACUGCCUCAGUAUUUGCCUUCUAUGGAUGCCAACAUUUCAGUUUCAUUUUAUGAUAACUCACAGCUUUUUUUUCUUUGUAGCACAAUCUCCCUUGAAAGCCAUGGCUUGGAGAAUGAAAAGCCACUGCUGACUUCCAGUCACAACCUAAAUAUCUUUGACUGUCACCAUUUUACCCAUUGGUUCUUUAGACUUAAUAUUUUUUGUACAGCCCCUUAACACUAUUUAUAGUAACAGCCACUUACUUUUCUUUCCCUGUAGACAUAAGUAUCUCCUCAUUGUAACUACCUCAGGCUGUCAUAACUGUUGAUACUCUUCCCAUAAUGUGAUUUUUGACUCGAGGCAGACCUCUCGAUCAUCCAAGAUCAGACAGAAUCCUAGCUGCUGAUUUUUGAAGGAUCAAAUAGCAGAACAGACCGCACUGCUGGAGCUUUUGGUCAGAGUCAGAGGAAAAAGAACAGUUAUUUCUCUCCUUCAAAAUCUUUAAGAUAUUGCUAUGGUCUACAUAGAAAUCUGAGAAUUCAUGCCAGCAGCCCUUUGAAAUUGCCUCCAACUCAUUUCUUAAGACCAUACAUUACUUUGAAAUCUAAUUGUGCGAGUACUUGAACUUUGUUCCCAAACAUAGUUAUGCAUAUGUGAAUAGGUCCGUGACUUGUGUCUUUUGUUUGUGUAUAAGGCGCACACAGUGCAGGAAGAGUUGACUUGCUAUACUAGGUCAAGCCCAUAGUCUUUAAGAUCUAUUCUAAUUCCUUUUGAGACUGCCCAUUCUCUGAAGCAAGAGGGUUUAAACUGCUUGCUCAUUUGUAAAAAUCUGUAAAAUACAUGUAUUUAUUGUUAGCAACACAAAACACCUUAAGUAUAACCAACUAAUUCUCCUCUUAUUAUUACACAGAACAUUUUAAGAGUAACUUUAGAGGAAGGAUUAAUAGGAAAAGAGAACAGUAGAUUGUAGAUUGUUCGAGGGAAAUUUGUGGGAGUGCAAACAUGGGGAAAAGCAGACAAAUGGGCUGUUGAGGCGAAUGGUCGUAGGACUGUGAUACAAAAAGACAAGUAGAUAAUAACGGGGAAGCAGAACCGGGAAGGGCCUUGAAACUGAGAACAGAAAGCAAAUAUUAUAUAAAGAUUUAUGAAGUAUCUUUGAACAGUCGUAUCAGGAGGCCUAGGUAUAAACUGCUAUCAGUUCUCGCUACCUAGUUUUAGCCUGAAGUAUGCCACAGCAGUUCCUUGAAUAGUGUUCUCCUGGCCAUAUUAACUCUUCAAGAUUACUGUGAAGUAUGAGCACAUUGCAUUUAUACCUGUACAGAAUUAGUUCAAAAUUAAUGAAUUAUGAAUGACAAAAUACUACUGAAUCAAACUUCUCCAUUUACAUUCAUUCAUUAUAGUAUUCUGUAUUUCUGGUUAUUGCACAGAAUAAAAAAGUAUACAAGGCUUAAAAUAGAGAACAGUCAAGGCUUUUCCCUCUCAGUUUUCCACUCAGCAUGUUUCUUUCUGAAACCAUUUUACAUCCAUGAUUUGUUUCUAUUGUACCAUCAUCAUAACUGAUACAUAACUGAUAAUAACUGGUAGAUUGCGUAGUUUCUUAAUCUUCCAUUCAUGGAUGUAAACAGCUAUGUAAUGCCUUAUGUAUAGGCAUUACUUUUAAAAAUUAAUUGCACUGAACUUUACAUCCCUGUAUUCUAUGGAAUGGAAAAUGUGUUUAUAUGGGUAAAUACAUAUGCGUUUUCAUCAAAACUCACAUACUGUAUAUAAGGAUGCAUUUUAUGGAAAAAACUUCAAGUUAUUCAGCACAAUUAACUUCUCUAAGCUUUCUGACGCAUUUACAGAAGAUAUUUUGCAAUGUUUUUUAUCAAGUAAAUUAAUGUCCAUUUUGUUUUUCAGCUGAACUGGGCUGCCAUAUGCUUGUCUGGUGCCCUCUUGUGGAUCAGAUUAUUAAUAUACUAUUCAUCAUACUGAAAAAGAUAAAGAAUGAGGAAGUUGAAGAUUUGUCUUGGAAAUAACACUGGAUACACAGAUGGUAAUUUCAGACAAGCAAAAAAAAAAAAAAAGAAAAUCAGCCUUUUUCAUCACAGAUGUCACAUACUCCCCUUGUCAUCACCUCAGAAUAGUGACCAUCCAUAACCUGAAACUCCACGCUUCUUGUGAACAAUCUCUCUGGCUUGUCUUGGAAAGAGGUACCGGGCUGCUGCUUGUUGGAUGUCUAGUCCUUCAAUUUGUAACCAUUCUGUGCUCCAGAGUUAUUAGAUUUAGUGCUCCACAAUGGAGUUCACCCCUUCUUCUCACUGCUUUAGUCAAAACUGCCAAUGUAACUUAUGCAGAAAUUCUUUUUCCUCUGUAACAGUAAACUGAGAUCCAGAUUUUUGUUUUAGAUUCCAGAUUAUCUUAGUCAUUUGUUUUCCUAUGAAAGAAAUACAAAAUAAGAUGAUACUAUUAAAGAGAAAAAAUCCUAUUUCAUCUUUUAUACCUCUCUGUUCCAUAGCUAAACUUGGACUCAAAGGGGAAAAGCUUUCUUACAAAAGUUCUUUGGAAAUGAAUUAGUAUCCUUGUAGAUAUGAAUAUUACUCGAAAGAAGAUCUAUCAAGCAGCUAGCAACUAAGAGCAGAGGACUUAGUAUAAUAGAUUUCCAUUCAAACCUUGACAAAGUGGUUAAAGAUUUGCCAAUAUGUCACGUAAACCUGACACCGUUCUUAUCAGAAUUUUGCUUCUGUGGCCUUUGACGCCUGCAUUUCUUCAUUCUUUUUAUCACUAUUGACUAGUUCAUGAAAUGCUAGUGAAAGAGGA